rnacentral:rRNA from 1 species
AAUAAUAAAUAAUAUAUCACGAAGGGCAUUGAGCUAAUUAAUAAACUAUGGUAGUCUGUACAUUAUAUGUUGCAUUAUAUAAGCUAUAUUAUUAAUUAGGGGUGAUAGGCCUCACAAAAUGUCCGAUAUCUUGAUCUCUAGGAAACAUAUUAAGUAUCUAAUCAACUUUGAAGUGUUAAGAUUUCAAGGUGGCACUAAGCUAUAUAAUAUUAUUUGCAAAAUGUCUAACGACACUUGUUUAGUACAGCUUAAUAUUAAUUAAUGGUCUGUUGUGUAUAUUACUAUUGUAUGUCUUACAACCUAAAAAGGCAAUAUUACUGUUAAUAUUAGUAUUUAUAUCAAUACCAAAGUAGGAACUCGGCAAACUCAUAUUCUUCAACUGUUUAUCAAAAACAUAGCUAGGUGACAUUAAUACUUAGUUGACUCUGCUCAAUGGAAUUCUAAAUAGCCGCAGUACCCUGACUGUGCAAAGGUAGCAUAAUCACUUGUCUUUUAAUUGAAGUCUAGCAUGAAAGAAUUAAUGGGGAAAUACUGUCUUCUUUAGUUACAUAGAAAUUAUUACUUAGGUGAAAAUACCUAUAUAAAUACAACAGACGAGAAGACCCUAGAAAUUUUCUAUAAAAGGAUCACUAAAUAAAUAUUAUUUUGUUGGGGCGACAGAAUAACAUAUAACUUAUUUUAUCUGAUAGGUACAAUGUAAUGAGAAAAAACAAAUUACUCUAGGGAUAACAGCAUAAUUUAUCAAAGUUUGUGACCUCGAUGUUGGACUAGGAACUUUAAUAAUCAGAAGUUAUUAAAUUUAGCUCUGUUCGAGCUGUUGUUCCUACAUGAUCUGAGUUCAGACCGGC